UGGCCGGGACCCACUACAGAUCCCUUGAUUACGGGUAUUCUCGGGUUAAUAAUACAGUUAAUUGAUGUUAUUGCUUGAGAAUACACGUAGUGACGGGUUCCCACGUCGACAGCGGCUCUC
rnacentral:pre_miRNA from 8 species